UACAGAGGUGCCGAGCGUUAGGCGGAAUCACUGGGCUUAAAGCGUGUGUAGGCGGACGUCUAAGUACCUUGUGAAAUCCCACGGCUCACCCGUGGAACUGCUGGGUAUACUGGGCGUCUUGAGCCACCUAGGGGCCAGCGGAACAAAUGGUGGAGCGGUGAAAUGCGUAGAGAUCGGAAAGAACACCAACGGCGAAAGCACUCUGCUGGGCCGACACUGACACUGAGAGACGAAAGCUAGGGGAGCGAAUGGG
rnacentral:rRNA from 1 species